AAAUCAAAAUCAUAAAACAUAAUAAAAAAACAAAUAAUGUAAGAUUCUAUUUAACUUUUGCAACAAGUUAAUUUUAUAGAAACAUUUUAUUUAAUUUUUCUAUUAAAUUUUUAAAUUAAUUGGAUUAAUGGUCUUAAGUAUAAUUUAUUUUUUUUCUUUUUUACUAACCUAAUUUCUUAGUAUAAAUAGAGAAAUUAUGAAACUCUCUUUCACUCAUGUAACAAUUCCUUAUACACUUUGCACAAAAACACUAUCAAUAUCCUAAACUUCCUUCACGUGUGAUUUUAUAUACUCACAAAAUCAUCAUCAUCAUCCCCAUGAUCACAACCACCAUAAUACAUAUCUCACACGCCAACAAACAAUGAAACGAAUCAUCAAAUGAUCAUAUCAAUUCAAGAAAAGAAAGUGGAUUGGAGGAAUAGAACGAGUAAAAUCGAUGUCGCAUCCCCCUUCGAUUCCAUCAGCAACACUAACAUAUAAUCAUGUAUAACUUUCAGCCAUCUAAUUCAACUACACACCAUAACAUACCACCAUAGAAUCAACACAUACUCCCUUUAUUUUGUUUGAUACGACAAUGCUAACAAUAACACCAUAACAACAUAUCUAGAACGAACAUAAACUUUAUUUAACCUUCAAAACUAAUAUCAAGAGAAAAAAAAUAAAGCGAGGAAUGAAUCACAAAUGCCGAUGCAAACGAAUCAUCACGACGAACGCAUCUGCAGUUGUGCGCAACCACCACCGAAGAUGUCUCUGAUCACUUCCCUGUUGUAAACCGCGAAGUCUCAUGCACCUCCAUGCGAACCGCUGCUACACGCCGUCUUCACCGCCGAAGUCAUGCGUCAUCGGAGACAUCACAACAACCGGAGCGACACCCUCUUCAGCACCACGAAUCCUUCCAUCACUCAACUGCCAUAAACUGCCAUGUGUAGAACCCGAUCUAGAAAAGAAGUUUUCACACUUGUUUUCUAUUUUAUUUGAAUCAAUUAAGGAAGGGUAUUUAGAAUUGCUUGUGAUGGAUUUUGAGAAAAAGGAAAGGAAAUGAGUUGCGUGAAAGUGAAAGGUCAAUGCUCUCAACAUAUUUCUUUUUAAUAUUGGUUCAAUAUUUGUU
rnacentral:lncRNA from 1 species